rnacentral:rRNA from 1 species
GUGUCAGCAGCCGCGGUAAUACGAAGGGGGCUAGCGUUGUUCGGAAUUACUGGGCGUAAAGCGCACGUAGGCGGAUUAGCAAGUCAGGGGUGAAAUCCCGGGGCUCAACCUCGGAACUGCCUCUGAUACUGCUAGUCUAGAGUCCGGAAGAGGUGGGUGGAAUUCCUAGUGUAGAGGUGAAAUUCGCAGAUAUUAGGAAGAACACCGGUGGCGAAGGCGGCCCACUGGUCCGGUACUGACGCUGAGGUGCGAAAGCGUGGGGAGCAAACAGGAUUAGAUACCCGUGUAGUCC